CUCCUUCUUGUUAUAAGACAAGUCGGGAAAGUUUUUCGCUAAGGGAUCAGUCUAUGUUCCAUCAGCUUGUUGGUGAGGUAAUGGCUCACCAAGGCUAUGACGGAUAUCUGGUUUGAGAGGAUGAUCAGACACACUGGAACUGAGACACGGUCCAGACUCCUACGGGAGGCAGCAGUCAGGAAUAUUGCACAAUGGAGGAAACUCUGAUGCAGCAACGCCGCGUGGAGGAUGACGCAUUUCGGUGUGUAAACUCCUUUUAUUAGGGAAGAUAAUGACGGUACCUAAUGAAUAAGCACCGGCUAACUCCGUGCCAGCAGCCGCGGUAAUACGGAGGGUGCAAGCGUUACUCGGAAUCACUGGGCGUAAAGGGUGCGUAGGCUGGCUUUUAAGUCAGAUGUGAAAUCCAAUGGCUCAACCAUUGAACUGCAUUUGAAACUGAAAGCCUAGAGUUCAGAAGGGGCAGAUGGAAUUAGUGGUGUAGGGGUAAAAUCCGUAGAUAUCACUAGGAAUAUCAAAAGCGAAGGCGAUCUGCUGGGAUGAUACUGACG
rnacentral:rRNA from 1 species